rnacentral:tRNA from 1 species
GCUGUGGCUCAGUGACAGAGUAUCUGUUUUGCAGGCAGAAGGUGCCAGGUUCAAUCCCGACCAUCUCUA